CAAACGUUUAUUUCUAUUGAUACCAUUGGCUGGUAAAAAAGUCUGAUAACAAGUUUGGUUCGCGUUAGAACCCAUAAUUCGUCAGGCAGAAAACUUGUUAAAAUGGUGAAUCUUGACUUAGAAAUGAUUUUGGAGACUCUCCUGAACGCGGCGAGGAGGAAAAGGGAAAGGGAACACCUUGAAGGUUCUUCGGAAGGAGUUAUCUACUGGAUGUAUGAGAAAAUUGCGGAUUUGACCUUGAGGGUCCUGGCAGAAUUGGUUGACUUUGUGAAGGCAGCUAUUAUAAAAAUAGUUGGUGUCGCUACAAAUGCUGUGGAGUGUUUCAAGCGUGAUUUUACAGUGCAAUGUGCCGCAUUGGAAGCCUUUGUGGUAUUUUUAACCAGUAAUUUGGGAUUUCAACUGGAAAUGUAA
rnacentral:lncRNA from 1 species